UACAGAGGGGGCAAGCGUUAUUCGGAAUUAUUGGGCGUAAAGUGUGCGCAGGCGGCCGCGCAAGUCGAGUGUGAAAGCCCCGAGCUUAACUUGGGAAUUGCGCUCGAAACUACGUGGCUGGAGUGUGGCAGAGGAAGGUGGAAUUCCAGGUGUAGCGGUGAAAUGCGUAGAGAUCUGGAGGAACACCGAUGGCGAAGGCAGCCUUCUGGGCCAACACUGACGCUCAUGCACGAAAGCGUGGGGAGCAAACAGG
rnacentral:rRNA from 1 species